CCUAUGGGAGGCAGCAGUAGGGAAUCUUCCACAAUGGACGCAAGUCUGAUGGAGCAACGCCGCGUGAGUGAAGAAGGGUUUCGGCUCGUAAAGCUCUGUUGUUGGUGAAGAAGGACAGGGGUAGUAACUGACCUUUGUUUGACGGUAAUCAAUUAGAAAGUCACGGCUAACUACGUGCCAGCAGCCGCGGUAAUACGUAGGUGGCAAGCGUUGUCCGGAUUUAUUGGGCGUAAAGCGAGUGCAGGCGGCUCGAUAAGUCUGAUGUGAAAGCCUUCGGCUCAACCGGAGAAUUGCAUCAGAAACUGUCGAGCUUGAGUACAGAAGAGGAGAGUGGAACUCCAUGUGUAGCGGUGAAAUGCGUAGAUAUAUGGAAGAACACCGGUGGCGAAGGCGGCUCUCUGGUCUGUUACUGACGCUGAGGCUCGAAAGCAUGGGUAGCGAACAGGAUUAGAUACCCUGGUAGUCC
rnacentral:rRNA from 1 species